CCUCGCGAGUGGGAGCGCGGCUGGGGUGGUGGGUAGUUUUGGGUUGUGUUGUGUGCUGCGUGUGGUGCAUGUGGGCCGAGUGCGAGUACGGAUGUGCGAGUGUGUGCGCGCGGGUCUGCAGCAUGGAAGGCGAGUGUGUGUCCUCCCCACGCCCCUCCCCUCGCCUACACCUUGAUCUUAUUUGAUCGGGUCGUGACCCCCGCCCCGCCGGGCCGCCCCGAAAUGAAAAGCAGCCCUCCUGCGAAGCCCCCUGGGUGGGGCGCUGUGCAGUGAGGCCCUCUGGGCGGUGGCGACGCCGCGGUUCCCGAGGUUCCCGGAUCGGUCCUGCGGGCCCGGCGCUCAGAAGUGAUGAAUUGAUCAGAUAGACGAGGCCGGGUCCGUCCCAGCCGCUGAUUACCGAGGCGAUUCUGAUCUGA
rnacentral:snoRNA from 14 species